GGCUCAGAUCGAACGCUGGCGGAAUGCUUUACACAUGCAAGUCGAACGGCAGCACGGGUGCUUGCACCUGGUGGCGAGCGGCGAACGGGUGAGUAAUGCGUCGGAACGUACCGAGUAAUGGGGGAUAACGCAGCGAAAGUUGUGCUAAUACCGCAUACGCCCUGAGGGGGAAAGUGGGGGACCGCAAGGCCUCACGUUAUUCGAGCGGCCGACGUCUGAUUAGCUAGUUGGUGGGGUAAAGGCCUACCAAGGCGACGAUCAGUAGCGGGUCUGAGAGGAUGAUCCGCCACACUGGGACUGAGACACGGCCCAGACUCCUACGGGAGGCAGCAGUGGGGAAUUUUGGACAAUGGGGGCAACCCUGAUCCAGCCAUUCCGCGUGAGUGAAGAAGGCCUUCGGGUUGUAAAGCUCUUCCAGCUGGAACGAAACGGUACGCGCUAACAUCGUGUGCUAAUGACGGUACCGGCAGAAGAAGCACCGGCUAACUACGUGCCAGCAGCCGCGGUAAUACGUAGGGUGCGAGCGUUAAUCGGAAUUACUGGGCGUAAAGCGUGCGCAGGCGGAUUGUUAAGCAAGACGUGAAAUCCCCGGGCUUAACCUGGGAAUGGCGUUUUGAACUGGCAGUCUAGAGUGCGUCAGAGGGGGGUGGAAUUCCACGUGUAGCAGUGAAAUGCGUAGAGAUGUGGAGGAACACCGAUGGCGAAGGCAGCCCCCUGGGAUGACACUGACGCUCAUGUACAAAAGCGUGGGUAGCAAACAGGAUUAGAUACCCUGGUAGUCCACGCCCUAAA
rnacentral:rRNA from 1 species